GAUGAACGCUGGCGGCGUGCCUAAUACAUGCAAGUCGAGCGAACGGACGAGAAGCUUGCUCCUCUGAUGUUAGCGGCGGACGGGUGAGUAACACGUGGAUAACCUACCUAUAAGACUGGGAUAACUUCGGGAAACCGGAGCUAAUACCGGAUAAUAUAUUGAACCGCAUGGUUCAAUAGUGAAAGACGGUCUUGCUGUCACUUAUAGAUGGAUCCGCGCUGCAUUAGCUAGUUGGUAAGGUAACGGCUUACCAAGGCAACGAUGCAUAGCCGACCUGAGAGGGUGAUCGGCCACACUGGAACUGAGACACGGUCCAGACUCCUACGGGAGGCAGCAGUAGGGAAUCUUCCGCAAUGGGCGAAAGCCUGACGGAGCAACGCCGCGUGAGUGAUGAAGGUCUUCGGAUCGUAAAACUCUGUUAUUAGGGAAGAACAAAUGUGUAAGUAACUGUGCACAUCUUGACGGUACCUAAUCAGAAAGCCACGGCUAACUACGUG
rnacentral:rRNA from 1 species